UACAGAGGUCCCGAGCGUUGUUCGGAUUCACUGGGCGUAAAGGGUGCGCAGGUGGCUUGGCAAGUUUGAUGUGAAAGCUCAGGGCUUAACCCUGAAAUGGCAUUGAAUACUGUUGAGCUGGAGGUUUGGAGGGGGGACUGGAAUUCUUGGUGUAGCAGUGAAAUGCGUAGAUAUCGUAAGGAAGACCAGUGGCGAAGGCGGGUCUCUGGACAGUUCCUGACGCUGAGGCACGAAGGUCAGGGGAGCAAACGGG
rnacentral:rRNA from 1 species